rnacentral:tRNA from 1 species
CAGAUUAGAGCUUGAUAUAAGCAUUUUAUUUACAUUAAAAGGUUUUCCGUGUAAUUCGGUUAUAAUUUGA